CACUGUAAAAAAUCCAACUCGCAAAAAGUUUACACAACUAUUUUUUAUUAGUUAACUGGACAAUAAAACAAAAAAAAGUUGACUUAACAAGUGGGAAUAAGUUGGUUCAAAAAUUGUUUAACCAACUUACAUUUUACCGUUGACUGGAUAUACACAUGCAAGUUUGAAAGCACACAAGUUGUUUUUGGUUGUUGGCGCAUGCGCACUGUAGCCUAUGUGGACGUUGGAGGCUGGAGCUCAUGUGGAUUGUGGAAUAGCGCCAAACUUCAUCGUUUAAAGUAAGUAUAUUUUUCUGUGUAUUUGAAACUGAAUUUAAGUAAUGUAAUGGCGCUGUGCAAUCUUAUUUUAAAGCAAGUUUUCAUGAAAUAACUAAUCAAGGAGAAAAUAUGUUGGAAUACCGGUUUUAUAUCUUGCAAAUCUUAAACUUAAUGUUUUCAAAUCCUCGCUAUAUCCAACACAGUUAUUGGAAAUAAUGUGCGAUUCGUCUCAUAGACUUAACUCAAAAUGUAAUUGUGUUGUUUCACAUCAUAAAAACGUCAUUGCAGCUCACGUGAAUUGAUAGCGCCUUGCACGAACACGACAAACGUAACGUCAGAAGUAAGUAUCUUUAUUCUGUGUGUUUUGAAACUGAAGUCCUAUUUAAUUAAUGUAACGUUAAUGUCACUGGGCUAACGUUAACGUAUUUUAAAGCAAGUUUGCAUGAAAGAGCUAAUCAAGGAGAAACUGUCGCAAUCCCUGUUUUAUAUCUUGCAAAUCUAACGUAAUGUUUUUAAAUCUUGGCUAUAUCCAACACAGUUAUUGGAAAUAAUGUGCAUACAUUUAACUUGAUGUUUAUUGCAUCACAGAAAACUCUGUUGGAGCUCACGUGGAAUGGUGGCAUUUUGAUCGUCAGUAAAACGUGCAGCACGAGAUCGCGACACUUCAUCGUUUAAACAAAAAAACUCUGUUGGAGCUCACGUGGAAUGGUGUCAUUUUGAUCGUCAGUAAAACGUGCAGCACGAGAUCGCGACAAACUUCAUCGUUUAAAAAAACUCUGUUGGAGCUCACGUGGAAUGGUGUCAUUUUGAUCUUCAGUAAAACGUGCAGCACGAGAUCGCGACAAACUUCAUCGUUUAAAAAAACUGUUGGAGCUCACGUGGAAUGAUGGCAUUUUGAUCUUCAGUAAAACGUGCAGCACGAGUUUGCAACAAACUUCAUCGUUUAAAGACACAUCGCCAAUAGACAGACAGACCAGAGGGAUAAAAAUGGGAAUUCUGGCGAUAACAGAGGAUGAUGCCGCCUCUAGCGAAUUGCCAACCUUUCAAAACUUUGCUAUUGUUUUGGAGGAGGCAAUUGUUCUGAAGGACAUUCCAGACCUUCCAUCUGCGGUUUCAUACCUGUUUGGCCUUGUCUUUGCCUUGAAUUUUGAAUACCCCAAAGAACUGAAAUAUACUUUUGAAGUAAUUGAGGUGUUGUUCAUGGAAAUGGGCACUCAGUGCUCUACGAGAGUACAGUCCUUAAAAACAAAACUCUUGCUGUGAAAGUUAAAUUGUGUGAAUUGACGUUGGAACAGAGUAUGUUAAAAUGUAAAACAGAUUGUUGAAUUGUUGUGAAUUGUUUACCCAUGUUCAGGUAUGUUUUAAGACUGUUUAAUGACAUUGUGAUGAUUUUUUUUGUGUUAGGCACAUUGACACUUUUGCUCUAAAAGGGUAUUAUUGCUGAGAACUGUUAAUUUAGUUGUGAGCAUCUUUUGAAUUAAACUAAGAAGAUUUUAACAUUAGGACAUUAAUAUUAAAGUUGUUGAAAUGUAACUUUGAAGUCUUACAAUGUCAUUUUAAUUGUUUUGUUUAUUUGUAUGCUUAUUAUUCAUUUUCAGAUUAUUUAUUGUAAUUUUAUUUGUAUUUUAAUUUAAUUUGUGUUUGUACUUUUUUUUACAAAUACUUUAUACAAAAGUGUAUUUUUGUUAGAAAAAUUUUAAUUUAAUUUUACAUUUCAAAAGGUGGACUGACCAUCCAGUGUUGAACUGCAACGUUUACAUGUUCAUUGAUGUUUUGAUGUUUUAAGCAUUCUAAGGAAUAGAGUCAAAGCUUUUACAUGUGAAAAGGGAUACAUUUAUCUUUAGUUUUUAUGUUUUUAAUUUGUAUUAUUGAUUUUGACAUUUUCCAGUAUUUCUUUAUUUUUAUUAUAUUGACACUCAUAUUUUUUUCUGUUAGGAAGUAUGACACUUAUUUGACCUUGUUUGUAUUUCUUUACAGAAAGUAAACAAAACUUGAAGCAAGCAUUUGUUUUUAUUUUACAAGACUGUGUAAAUGCAAACUAGAACAGAACAUUUGUCCAUUUAAAAAAAAGUUCACAUAACAUAAUUUGAGUUGUGUCAAAAAAGGAUUUAAGUCCAGUUAACUAACAAAACUGAGUUGGCUGAACGAAUAGAAAACUUUUAUUGAGUUGUUUCAAAAAGGAAUUAAGU